rnacentral:rRNA from 1 species
UACGAAGGGUGCAAGCGUUGUUCGGAAUUACUGGGCGUAAAGCGCGCGUAGGCGGGUCUGUGUGUCGAUUGUGAAAGCCCUGGGCUUAACCUGGGAAUGGCAGUCGAAACUGCAGAUCUUGAAUGUCUGAGAGGAUGGACGGAAUUCCCGGUGUAGUAGUGAAAUACGUAGAUAUCGGGAAGAACACCUGAGGCGAAGGCGGCUCUCUGGGACGGUACUGGACGCUGAGACGCGAAAGCGUGGGGAGCGAACGAGGA